CCCUCGCUCCUUCCUCCCUCACCCGCCGCCACUCCCUCCCACCACCUCCUCCUCCUUCUUCUCCACCCUAGGAGCCCCGCCACCGCCCUGCUGCUACUCCUCCAUCGGCCCGCCUCUUCCUCCUCCCCGCCUUCCCAUCGCUCGCGUGCAGACCAUCGUGGCCACGCGCUUCACGGGCGAACCCGACCGGCCCGUCGCUGUUGGCUCGAGCUGCUAGGAAGAGGGAGGAGUCCGGAGAAAGCAUGAAGGCACAGGCCGUGCCUGGUGAGGCGGCACCGCCGGCCAUGGGACGCUGGACCUCGGGGAGCCCCAUCCCAGGCCCGCGCCCAAAUUCUUGGGCAGGGGGGGAUAGAUCGACGAUGGCGCAUCACAUAAGGGAAUGGGAGAUCGAGGAGAAGGGAGACGAGGGUGGGUGGUGGCUUGCAGCAUGGGGCGGGCACGCAGGGGCACGUUCAACGAGGGUGGUGUUCUGUGGAUCUGGUGCCCCCUCUCCUUUGGCGACCUCCUCCUCCUCAUCUGCUGCCGAUGGCUGUGAGUUCACGGCUGCUCCGGAGCUCCAACGAGCCAAGUUGUGUGCAAAUCCGACAAAGAAGAGAAAAGGAAGAAUAUUGAGGAAGAGUUUUGGUGAAGAACAAGGGAAUAGAAAUGAAGAAUUAUAAUUUAAUUACUCUAGUGGAAGGAUCAGUUUUUAUGGCAUGGACUACAAAGGAGAGAAGUGGACCAUGUGAACGUAGUACAACAUUGUUGUUAGUUCGCGCAGUCGAGGUCUGCUCAGGAAGACACAGUUCGACCGAACAGUUGUUGUGUUUUCCCAGUUGUUUGCAAAUCCGACGAAAAGGAGCAAAGAAAGAAUAUUGAGGAAUAUUUAGGUAAAUAAGAACAAGUGCAUUUAUGUUGCUUCCUGCAAGGUCAAUGAUAUGGAGACAGUUGGAAUUCAUAUUCAAGCUAAUACAGUGACUAAAUUUGGUGAGCAGCGAGUGCCUGAUCAUGAUCUGCGGGAGGGUAACGGUUAUUAUAAUAAUUGAGUGUACCCAAUGGAGACUGCAUUACAUAAUUAAUCGGAGGGUAAGGGCGUCCAUAGUUUUCAUUGAACUACUGCAGUUUCCAACUGAAUUUUCAUUUGCAGAUUCCGAAGAACGGAGUUCUAGGUUCUAACCAUGUCGCUUCCAUUUGUUGUAUUCUGAGGAUAAUCUUGUUCUAUAUCCCUGCAUUGUUAUCCACUGGACUCUAAAACAAAAAUCAAUGUUUGCACAUCCAGACAAGGUAAACUUAUGAUGAGUGGACUCCACAAUAUAAAUUGACAUUCUAUGUCAGUGGAAGUGAGUCUAUACUCACCGAGGAACAAUUUGAUCUGAUAACUAUGAAAUGUUCUUUGUUGGUUUUGGUUCUAUAAUAUCAAGAUCUAUAAUUAUAUUCACUUUACAUGUUAACAUGUUGUAAAUAAAUUGUUAUCUAAUAGUCAGCAAUCUGUGGGAACUUUUCCUCACAGUAGGGUGUGUUGUUGAUGUUUUCUUGAUCUACCAGUGAACUUGUAUCAUGUGGCUAAUAUGUAUAUACAACGAGACUUUAUUUAUGUUCGCCCUUUUUGUUCUGUGCGUGCUUGGUGAAUUGCUUACCCGGUGUGUGGCAGAAAAUAGAAAGUCGAGUUUGAUUUCUAUUGUGGCAUUGCAAUAGAUGACCAACCUUUUAUGUUAUGUGCUUUAGCUUCUUUCCAAAUUUUAGAGUGACAACCGUUUGACAAAGGGUGAAAUUUUUGGUAGGGCCUAGGUGGAAAGUAUUUGAUUAGUUUUUUGAGAGACUGAACAAUAUUUUUAGUUCUGUUUUGUGCUAAUGAACUACUUUUUAAUCACUUCCUUAUGAACGUAUAAAAUAAAUUACAUUGUAAUGUAUCAUGUUGUAUUACAUGAAAAGGUGUUGAAAAGGACGCAAUCCAUCAAAUAUAUGUAGUAUGAUAUAGGAUCCUUGCUUUAUUGUAUCCAUAUGUUGUAAGGAGAUUAUCUUGUCCUUUCAUUAUUCUUAUUAUUUGUCCUUUUCACAUUAAUCGUGAGUAGACUUGGGCCAUUGCAUUUGAUGUUGAUCUUAUUUGCAUAUUAGUCCAAGAACAACAAUUGCUCUUUGUUGUGGUAUUGCUGGAGAAAUACAAAUGUAUAUACCCGUUUCCCAUUGUCCAUUCGAGGAGAUCCCUGAGGCAUUUGAUUCUUGUGGGAUUCCCACACAUCUUACAGGAUCAUCAACAAGUGGCUGGGCCUCUAAAUUACUCAGAAAAGCUUCCAGCAGUCUCCGAUUCAAAAGAAAACAAAUAAGAAAGGAUGCAUUGAUUAUUUUGGGUUGAUCUUAUUUGAAUUUCCAGUGAAAUUCAAACUUGAGACCUUACUCGAGUAUUUAGUUCCAAUGGAAUUAAAUGAAUUUCCCAAAAUGCCUCUUUGGGUAUUAGUUGCAUUUUUAUUUGGAUCGUUGUACAUUCAAACAGUUUCUGAUUCAAAAUACAACAACACGGAGAAGAUAAAAUGAUUAAGCAACACCCAAAUAGUGGUUGCAGCAGAUCUCUCUCUCAUUCUCUUUCCAGUUUGGUUGACCAUUCUUUUUGUUCUUAGGUCUUUGAUCUGCUUUCUUCUUCAGCGAAGCAGACCACGAUCUCCUACACAUUCUGCCUUGCUCCCCGGGGCAACCUUCUCUGUUUCAGAUCCACUCUUUUCGUUAUGGUUUUAACUAUGCUUAUGAUUACCUGUCUUGCCGAAAUUCACUUGCCAUAUGCAAGUCUUCUGGUGUGUGCCGAUGGAAAUUAUAUUUGCGCAACAAGAUUAGAGUAGAUAAUUUCCUAACCUUGAUUCCUUAUCGAGUGCUUACUAAAAUAGAUGUACAGUUAUUUCAUUCCAUGCUUACAAUCCACAAAGUUAAUUCUUGUGAUUUACUUAUGCUAUCAAAAUCUGUUUGAUUUCCUAUACCCGUAGGUACCAUUGUAUACCUGAAUCCAUGUGAUUUCAUGUCUCUAUGGUUAUGUUGAUUAUCUUACCUUUGCUAGCCAUGUGUGCCCUCACCUUUGUUCAUCAAUUCGUGCGCAGGUAUGGAUCGGUGAUGUCAAUGCCCAUAGAGCCAUUACCUCAUGAAUGAUGUGUGUUUUGUGUGUGCCAGUUUGCCGGUUAGUGAGUGAUAAUAUUCUGAUGAAUGUUUCAUCAGUGUAGAAAGUGAUCAGCAAUAGACAGCUCUUACUUUUGGAUUGAAGUGCAGAUCUUGCUAAUGAGUUAACUAUUGACUCAUUUAUGUAUUCUUAUGCCCCAAUGUUUCAUUAAGUAUUCUUAUUUCUAUAACAUAAAAUUAUUUCUUACCAUCUUCUAUUGUUUUCCUCUGUUUUUAUAGUUAUUCAGAGAACACCACAUGUCACAUGAAUUCUAGACUACUUGUCUACAGUUAACUGGUUAGAAUCAGUUUCUUGAGUUUGCUUGCUUAGCAUGUAAUAUUUCACACUCGCUAAUUGUAUUAUUUCACGGUUGGCAAUUGUUAGAACCAGGUCUUGAGUUUGCUUGCUUAAUCGUGUCCCUGUGUAAUUUCUCACCAAGCUCGCCAAUGUGAGUUUGUCCCACAUAUGGAGUUUCUAUGAAUUUUUGUAGUCCAGAAAUUCCUGGAAAUUCUCUUGUUGAUGUUAUAAUGUGGGUGUGUUCGGCUUCCUUCUUCAUUAAAGGUGAGUCCUUUCUUUCAGGUUGGCCAACAUGAUGUUGUUUCUGCUGCAAAAUAAUUCGUUAUGCAAUUAUGGUUAGGUUGUCCUUUUUCCUUCAUAACCGUGUUUAAUGGGUAGCUGUUAUGCUCACUUUCCUCAAAGCAAGGUUGUGUAGCCGUGCUAUUUUGUGCUUUAAGAAGUAAGCCGACACCAAAUCAGUAAUCAUGUGCUUCUGCUUUGUUGGCCCAAAGUCACUAUUUUUUGUGUGUUAUCUUUACUCUUUAGCCAUUCCAAAACAUUUAUCUGAUUUUGCAGUAUUGCAGACCAUAGAAUUACAAGUUGACCAUAUUUUUUAAUGUGUGAACCUCACACAGAUGUCGUGCGAAUGCAGUUUGACAAGAGUCGUAAAACCAAUGGAUAAUAAGAGACUGUUUGAUGGUGAAAGAAUUUAUGCUCAUGGUGACUACCUCAAGUGUGCCAGAGUAAGAAUUUGUCACAAUUUAGUUUAAGAAGACAAUAUUAUAGCUCUGCAAUAUUACAUGCUUAUUACAUGAACAGGACCCAUUUGGCAACACUUAAAUCAUUUUAUGGCGCCUUUGUUUCUGAUCUACAAAACAACAACUUUUACCGAGGCUUGUUAUUUCUAAUUCAUUCUUUUUCCCUGCUUGCUUAUUGCAACACAAGCCACCAUGACUCUAAUAUCAAGCAUACACACAUGUUCGAUAUACUCCCUAUGUCGUGCAACAAGCCAAAAGUAAUCCAUUGGAAUUUAUAGAUGCUUACAAAAUAUGCAGCCCUAUUGGUAAAAAAGGAAAAAACAAUUUUCAGAUGCCCCUGUUUUCUCCAUCGAGAUUAGCCUUCAUAAAAAUCACAUUCUUAUUUUCCUUCGCAAAACAUUUUGUCACCCUUCUGUCUACCAUAGACAACCAAUCAUAUAGCUCCUUGACUAUGCUAUACAUUUUUUUAUGCCAACAGGAAAAAUCUGUACUACUAAAUCUCUGUGCAACGCCUACGCAGAAAUAAUUUUUUUCAUUAACAAACAUAAUAAUGUGGUUCUGCCCCGCAAAACUAAUAAUAAUAAUAAUGUGGUUCUGACUUUUGUAGCCGCAAAAAAACGCUCUCCAUCAACUACAAGUUUCUGUAAAAUAGACCAGCCUGCUUAAUACAUUGGCUUUCGAAAAAUUUCACGACCCAUCACCAGCCCAUAGAAAUCUUUGCCUGGCCCUUUUUAGAAGGAGACCGCAGCUCCCAUUAAACUUAGCCGCUCCAGAUUCCUUAUCCAGAUCCACUGCCGGACCACCUCCCCCAUCCGCAUCGACAACGACCGACCUGGCAUCGACCGGCUGCUGGAGCCAUGACCAAGAAGCCGCUCCGAAGAAGCGCCGCUGUCCGUCAUCACGGCGUGCUACCAACGUAUUCGCUUGCGGCACGCCUGGAUCAAGGACUCACCAACGAACAAGCCACCUCUUCCCUUCUGCAUACGCGUUCCAACCGCCAGAUUUACAAGAUGGCUGCUGUUAAACAAGAGGAGGUAGACACAACCAAUGAUACCAGCGGUGGCCAAAUUACCCAUGACGAACCACUACGUCGGAAGCACAAUAAGCGAUACGAGUAUAUUCAUCGCCCACGCAAAGCAAGCUCAAUCCAAAAGUUCAAAGGCAAGAAAAUCCAUCUAAAGCCCAGAAAGUUCAUUCUUCGUGGUGAGCCUUGCGAGCACUACUUAGAUGAGUUUAGUCACCUCGUUGUGUGGGGCAACACAGUUAGGCUCUACAACCAUAAUGUUCGUGCACUGCAAAAGAUCAUCCACAACACCACCACGCCUAAUAACUACUAUGUGUGCCACAUGACAGAAACAUUUGCAACACAAGGCAAAAGAAUGGUAAUCCUUCGCAAUUAUUCUGUUCUGUUUCAUAUAAUAGCAUGGUAUAAAAUGAUAUAGUGACUAACCUUUACUACUGUUUUGAGUACUUUAAUGUCCACUUUUCUACGGGUUCCCUUUUCCCACACAUGGAUGCUGACCGAGGUGAACUUCCAAUCACAACUGGAGACGGAACAAUCAUUGUCACAGCCCGCUUUAUCAAGGGAGUUGACAAAAGGGCCACCAUCACUAAAGGCUGGAGCGACUUCUUCCGUCGGACCCACAUGAACGAAGGGCAAACAUAUGCUUUCGGCUUCAAAUGCACUUCCAAGGGAUUGUACCUGAUUGUCUACUCAAUAUAAGCAAGUUGCAGGAGCCCCUUUCUAUAUAACAUAUUAUUUAUAUGAAUGCCUACAAAGACAUCUAUGUUUAUCCUUGUUUUCGAUCUUAUGUAAUCCCCUAAGACACUGUUGUGCAUUUAGCUAUCGAUUAUCCGCUACUUAGACUUCUC